rnacentral:rRNA from 1 species
GAUGAACGCUGGCGGCGUGCCUAAUACAUGCAAGUCGAGCGAACGGACGAGAAGCUUGCUUCUCUGAUGUUAGCGGCGGACGGGUGAGUAACACGUGGAUAACCUACCUAUAAGACUGGGAUAACUUCGGGAAACCGGAGCUAAUACCGGAUAAUAUUUUGAACCGCAUGGUUCAAAAGUGAAAGACGGUCUUGCUGUCACUUAUAGAUGGAUCCGCGCUGCAUUAGCUAGUUGGUAAGGUAACGGCUUACCAAGGCAACGAUGCAUAGCCGACCUGAGAGGGUGAUCGGCCACACUGGAAGUGAGACACGGUCCAGACUCCUACGGGAGGCAGCAGUAGGGAAUCUUCCGCAAUGGGCGAAAGCAUGACGGAGCAACGCCGAGUGAGUGAUGAAGGUCUUCGGAUCGUAAAACUCUGUUAUUAGGGAAGAACAUAUGUGUAAGUAACUGUGCACAUCUUGACGGUACCUAAUCAGAAAGCCACGGCUAACUACGUG